rnacentral:rRNA from 1 species
UACGAAGGGGGCUAGCGUUGCUCGGAAUCACUGGGCGUAAAGCGCACGUAGGCGGAUUGUUAAGUCAGGGGUGAAAUCCUGGAGCUCAACUCCAGAACUGCCUUUGAUACUGGCGAUCUUGAGUCCGGGAGAGGUGAGUGGAACUGCGAGUGUAGAGGUGAAAUUCGUAGAUAUUCGCAAGAACACCAGUGGCGAAGGCGGCUCACUGGCCCGGUACUGACGCUGAGGUGCGAAAGCUAGGGGAGCAAACGGG